GCCCUCUUAGCUCAGUUGGCAGAGCACUUCCAUGGUAAGGAAGAGGUCGUGGGUCCGAUUCCCACAGAGGGCU
rnacentral:tRNA from 1 species